rnacentral:rRNA from 1 species
CAGCCGCCACGGGAAUACGGGGGGGGCAAGUGUUAUUCGGAAUGACUGGGCGUAAAGGGCACGUAGGCGGUGAAAAGGGUGGAAAGUGAAAGUCUCCAAAACACUGGCGGGGUGCUUUCUUGACCAUUUCACUUGAGUGAGAUAGGGGAGAGUGGAAUUUCGUGUGGAGGGAUCAAAUCCUAAGAUAUACGAAGGAACGCCAACCGCGAAGGCAGCUCUCUGGGUCCCCACUGACGCUGGGGUGCGAAAGCAUGGGGAGCAAACAGGAUCAGAGACCCGCGUAGUCCCUGUCUCUUAUACA